UCUCCGUUGGGAAGGAAACGCGACUCAGCCAACCAGACCCAACCUAAACCCCCCCCGUCGAGCCAUCGAGGUCGAGUCGUCGUCGUCUGCGCGAGCCGCGUGAUGCCUCCGUCCAAGCCCAAGCGGCGGCGCGGCGGCGCCUCCUCGCGCGGCCGGAAGAAGCAGAAGCGCCUCGACGCGAUACGCGACGUCGCGCCGCCGCUGCCACCUCCCCCGGCGCCCCUGGGCGGCGGCGGCGGCGACGACGAUUCAGACGCGGAGGGCAUCCGCCGCAGCACGCGGGUGCGCCGCGCGCCGGUCCUCCUCGACACAUCGCCGCUCCCUUCGCCCCGCCGCAAGAGGCCUCGCCGCGGCGGCGGGGUGAGCGGGAGCGGGAGCUCGCGGAGGGGGAGCCGGGGCAGGGCGCGGCACGAGGUGGAUGCCCGGGAGAUGGAGGAGGAGGAGGAAGAGGACGACGACGAGGGGAGUGUGGUGUGGCGCUCGCGGCUGAGGGAUAGGGUUAAGGGGAAGGCCAAGCUGCAGGGGCGGGCGAGGAGCCUGUGGUUCGAAGAUGAAGAGUACGGGGAAGAGGAGGAGGAGGCGGCGGAGGAGGAGGAUGAAACGGAGGAUGAGGAAGAGGAGGCCAGGACGGUGGUGGUGGACGUUCGCGAGAGGGCUGACGACGAGGAGUCGAGCGAGGAGAGUGGAGGUUUGCAGUCGCAAGGAAGGGAACUGACGGAUAGAGAGAUCAAUUUAACAAUCGAUUUGAAUGUAGACGCACAUGAUGCAGUGGAGGGUGUCAAUGUAGUAGAAAAGGAAGAUGGAGAAAAAGGAGAGAAGGUUGGGGAGGAAGUGGUGCCGGCAGAGCAAGAGGAAGAGGAGGAAGGACCAAUAGUAGGUGGUACAAAUGAUCUAGAGGAAGGCAAGGGAGAGGAAUUGGUGGCGGAGGAGGGUUUGCAGCGGGAGGAGAAAACUGAAGAGUUGGAAUUGCCUGUAUUGGGAGGAAAUGGUAGCGACGAGUUACCUUGUGAUGAGAGUAAUGAGGAGGUUAGGGCCAGCAAUUCAGGCGAAACUGAGCAGGUUGACAUGCAAACUGAACAGAUUGCAGAAGAGAGCAACCUGCCUUCUGAGCAGCAUAUGGAACUGGACCCGUCUGGUCCUGCUGAGCAAGAGGAAGAGGUCCAGCAGGAUGAACAGACGGGUCAUGUCCCAGAUGUGGUAUUGGCUGAGGAUGGUCCAAAGGAGAGGAUGCGGAAAUCCCCCAUUGCAGAUGAAAAACGGGGAGUUAAGGUGGUUAAAGAAGGGAGAAGGUGUGGGCUCUGUGGUGGAGGGACUGAUGGGAGACCACCUAAGAUUGCGUUGCAUGAUUCUGUUGACAGUGAGAAUGAAGCAUACGAGGGGGCUUUGCCUUCAGAAGAGCCCAACUAUGAUAUGUGGGACGGAUUUGGUGAUGAUCCUGGAUGGCUUGGAAGGUUGCUGGGUCCAAUUCACGACCGCUUUGGCAUUGCACGUGUCUGGGUUCAUCAGAACUGUGCUGUUUGGAGUCCCGAGGUUUACUUUGCUGGUUUGGGGUGCUUGAGAAAUGUAAGAGCUGCACUUUGCCGUGGAAGGCUUCUGAAAUGCAGUCGAUGUGGCAGACCUGGUGCAACUAUUGGGUGUCGUGUCGAUCGUUGCCCGAAAACCUACCAUUUGCCUUGUAGUCGAUCGGAAGCCUGUAUAUUUGAUCACCGGAAGUUUCUUAUAGCUUGCAACGAUCAUCGUCAUCUCUUCCAACCCCAAGGAGAUAAGUAUGUUGAAUUACUCAGAAAACUGAAGGUAAAAAAGAUGAAGGCAGAUGUCAGAAAGCUGUCACAAGAUGCAUGGAGAAAGGACAGAGAGGCUGAGGAGAAAUGGUUAGAGAACUGUGGGGAAGAUGAAGAGUUCUUGAAACGUGAGGGAAAGAGGCUAAACAGAGACCUUUUGCGCAUUGCGCCUGUUUAUAUAGGAGGCUCCUCUGAAAAUGAAAAGUCAUAUCGUGGUUGGGAAUCUGUUGCUGGGCUCAAUGAUGUUAUUCAGAGCAUGAAGGAGGUGGUGAUACUACCUCUUCUCUAUCCUGAGUUCUUUAGCUCUUUAGGUCUUACACCUCCGAGAGGUGUUCUGCUGCAUGGCCACCCUGGUACUGGUAAAACACUUGUUGUGAGGGCACUAAUAGGGGCAUGUUCUCAAGGUAACAGAAGGAUUGCUUAUUUUGCUCGAAAAGGUGCUGAUUGUUUGGGUAAGUAUGUUGGUGACGCCGAGAGACAGUUAAGACUUCUAUUUCAAGUAGCUGAACGAUGUCAACCUUCUAUCAUAUUUUUUGAUGAGAUAGAUGGUUUAGCACCUUGUAGAUCCAGACAACAAGACCAGACACACAAUUCAGUCGUGGCAACUUUGCUUUCAUUGCUUGAUGGUUUGAAAUCACGAGGCUCGGUUAUAGUGAUUGGGGCUACAAAUCGCCCUGAUGCUAUUGAUCCUGCUCUUAGGAGACCAGGAAGGUUUGAUCGUGAGAUAUACUUUCCGCUUCCAACCUUUGAGGAUAGAUCUGCUAUUCUGUCACUGCAUACGAAAAACUGGCCAAGUCCUAUUUCAGGUGCAUUCCUGUCACUUAUUGCUAGCCAAACUGUUGGAUAUGCUGGUGCUGAUCUGCAGGCAAUCUGUACACAAGCUGCGAUCAAUGCUUUGAAAAGAACCUGCCCGUUACAUGAAAUUUUGCUAUCUGCUGAAAAAGGAAUUGAGCAGGGGCGAGUUCCUUUACCAUCAGUUCUUGUGGAGGAAAGAGAUUGGUUAGCUGCUCUUGCAGCUGCCCCUCCACCCUGUUCACAAAGAGAAGCAGGAAUUGCCGCAAAUGAUCUAGUUUCCUCACCUCUAGAUUCUGGUCUUGUACCAAGUCUUCUUAAACCAUUGGUACACCUGCUUAUUUCUCUUUAUUUGGAUGAACGUGUAUGGUUACCUUUGUCUCUUCUUAAGGCAUCUGGUUCUAUUAAGGAAGUUGUGUUCUCAUCCAUGGAAAAGAAUAGUGUACCCCGCUCUUUCUGGUCUACUUAUCUUAAUUCUUUGAUCCAACAGAAAGGUAUUGCAAAUAGAAUUAAAAUGGUCUUGUCAAGCUGUGGUCUAGCAUCUGCACAAUUAGGAAGUCAUGAUUCAAUGUUGCCGAGCCAUGUUGAAACACAGGAGAAUUUUUGUGGCAACAGAUCAAAUUCCACUGGUUCUCAUAUGAAGGGAGGGUUACCUCAUAAAUUAUCAGGCUUUCGAGUUUUAGUGGCUGGAGCACCCAGAUCAGGCCAGCAACACCUAAUUCGUUGCCUACUCCAUGGUUUUAUGGGCCAGAUUGUUAUACACAAGCUUGAUCUUGCAACUAUGGUGCAGGAGGGAAAUGGUGAUAUUCUUAGUGGACUGACACAAAUUCUUUUAAAAUGCCUAAACCUUGGAAGGUGCAUCAUCUACAUGCCUAGAAUUGAUUUGUGGGCAGUUGAUAAGGUCCAUAAUCAGAUAGAAGAUAAUAUGCUCAAUAUGGGGACAAGCAAUUUAGCAUCCUCAACUACCAAUCACAUAAGAAAAUGUUCUGAAGUUUGGAAUGCAUUGGUUGAGCAGAUGGAUUCCUUGUUAGCUUCUGUAUCGAUAAGUGUUCUGUCCACUAGUGACCUGAGGUUUCAAGAUCUUCCUAGUGGAGUAAGAGGUUUCUUCAGCACACAUGUUGUGGAUCAAUGCCUUGCUUCUUCAGAACACACAAUUCCAAGAUUUUCUGUGAAUAUUGACAGCCACUCUAGUUGGGAUGAGAUGAUUGAUUCAUGUGCUUUUCGGUUAUCUCAUGACUUGAUUCAACAUCAUGUUCAAUUUUUGCAUGACAAAUCUCAUAAGAAUAACCAUCAUGAACAGAAAGAAGUCUUUACUUCCAUGGAGAUCAGUGCACAAGGUGAACCUAAGUCCAGUGAGAAUGACCAACCCAUGUGUGGAGUUGCUUCUAGGGAGAAUCCAACUCAGCUGGCUGCAAGCAGAGCUCAACAAGAGCCACCACCAUCUAAUGUGAAAGAUAAUGUAAAAAAUGUUCAGAAACCUUUAGAGGACACUGUGCAAAGAUAUCCGUCUAGUAGGAUUGUAAAAGGCAACGAGACACUUGCUAUUGCUGCUUUUGGAAUUCAGAUACUGCAGCACCCUCAGUUCUCUAAACUUUGUUGGGUUACCUCGAAGCUACGGGAAGGCCCCUGCACUGAUAUAAAUGGGCCAUGGAAAGGCUGGCCAUUUAAUUCCUGUUUAUUGCAUAGCAGUGCCUCACCUGAUAAGUCAGUAAAUGGAGGAAACAAUGUUAUUAAGGGCAAGGAAAAGACUCUCUAUGUGAGAGGGUUGGUUGCUGUUGGCUUAUUGGCUUAUAGAGGUGUCUACGAGUCUGUUAUUGAAGUCUGUGCUGAGGUGAGAAAGGUAUUGGAGCUGUUAGUUGGACAGAUCCGAACUAAAAUUUUGGAAAAGAGAAAUCGGUUUCGGUAUUUUCAUAUUCUAACUCAAGUAGCUUAUCUGGAUGAUAUUGUGAACAGCUGGGCAUACACCUUUCAAAGAUUACAUGCUGAUAGCAGGACAGGAAUAUCAGGCACAAAGAGUUCAUGCUCCGAAGUGUGUCAAAGUACUAGACAUCUUGCAGAAACCAUUGUACAAGUUGCUCCAUUUGGCAACCCUGCUGAGGUUGAAGACAUUCCAGCCCAACACACAGAGGACUGUGAAGUUGUUCCUGGUCCUAAUAAGAUGCAAGACAAUCCAGUUCAGUGUACUGCAGAGCAAGACAAUUCAGUUCAUCCUGCAGAAACCAAUGUACAAGUUGCUCCUGUUGGCAACCCUGUUGAGGUUGAAGACAUUCCAGCUCAACACACAGAGGACUGUGAAGUUGUUCCUGGUCCUAACAAGAUGCAAGACAAUCCAGUUCAUUAUACUGCAGAGCAACUUGGAACCCAUACUAUGGUCUGUGAUCUUGAUGAUGAUGAUGUCACAUCUAUAUCCAGCAAGGAUGCAGUGGAACACAAUCUUAUCCAGUCAGCUUCAACAGAGGUGCAUAGGCGUAACCUUACACAUGCAGAUACAGCAAGAAAUGAUGGAGAACGCAGUGGAGCAAACAACGAUGGGAAAGUGUCCAAUUUAACCUAUGAUGAAGGGAACUGCAGACCAGAUAUUCAAAGAUCUGAAAACCGCACAGAAUCUGCUGAAUGCUUGAAUGAUCUGCAAAAGGCAGGAAAUUCUGUUGGAUCCUCUGCAAGCAUUGACAAUACAGAAAUACCAAGGAACGUUGUUUCUUCUGAAGCUUAUGGUGAUGAUAAUGAGUUGAAGAAGAACAAUCCUCUGAAUGAUGUGGAAUCAAGUCAUUUGAUUGAUGGUCAACUGCAAUAUGACAUGAAUAAUCUUUCAGUUCCAAAAGCUCUAUGUCUCUACAAAUGUUGCUCUGCAUGCUUCCGUGCUGUUUAUAAGAUGGUUCAUGAUACUCUAUCAAAUUCUCUAAUGCCUAAUCUGCAUUGCUUAACAGUUGAUGAUAUGCAUGACAUUCUGUCAUCGUGGUGCAUGAAUCUAUUAGCAACUGUUAGAAAAUGUUACAGCUCUCAAGAUGAGGUGAACUGUGAAGAAAAUUUUGAAACAACGCACAAUAAAGAAACCUGCUUAGAGCAUUGUGCUUGUCAGAGUGAUCUUCGUCAUCUUUCAAGGGAGUGCAUAUGCCAUUCGGAAAACAACGAUGAGACUGGAACUGCAAAUACUGAUUGCCUAUCAGGACAGAGUUUAAGUUUUUGCUUUAAGGAUGGUGUAUGGAUGCCAUCAAAUCUCACUGCAGAAACAGAACUUCAUUGCAGCUUCAGGAGAUUCUGCAUUUGCUCAAUAUUAGGAACAAUUUCUAUGCUAGUCAAUUCUCCAGUUGAUGAGAUUAUCUGAUGCAGAUACAAAAGUACAAAGAGUAUUUUAAUGCUCUAGGUGCCACAGUUCUGAUUUUACCCUGAGUUGGCCCGUCUCCAGUUCUGCACAUGUCUCAAUAUCAUCUGGAUUUCUUCUGUUGGUUGACUGGAAUUUCUCACCCUUGAGGCAACUUCCAAGCUUGUCCUUGUUGCAAAUGAAUCGCCUCUACCUGCUAUGGUCGGUAGCAGAAUGCUGACUAUUGUAUUUGCUUCACAGCCUGGAUAUAUGAAGAGAAGCUAAGAUAUUCAUCCUCAGUUUCUCAAUGGAGUUGUUCUGUUGUAGCAUUGACUGCUGGAAUUCGUAUGGUAAGACUGGAAUGUCUGGAGGCUGAAGAUCUUGAAGUGCUUUCUUAGGAAGUUUGACGUAUUUGUCUCCGGGAAAAUAUGGAUAAACCUGGCCAUUGUAGAGUCGAUCUUUAGUGUAACAUAGACCCUCACCAGCUUUGUAUGUGAAAGAUAAACAAAAGCAGCUGUCCAGGCAUAUCUGCAUGCAUUCUUCAAAUGAGAUUGACUUGUUUGAAGUCAGAUCAAAACCAUAGAAGUCACCAUGAGGUAUCUUGACGAACUAAAAUCUUCUCGUUGUUGUCCACAGUUGACGCUGAAUGUUGGCCUGCAUCCUUUGUUCCAGUUCUUCGGAUCAUUCAUCUCAUAUCCUGGAGGACAGUUGCAUCUGAAACCCUGUCCUGAAUCUGAAGCUGUCAUCUUGAACCUGUCGCUUGACCGAAAUAUGCCUUCGUUGUCCAGAACUGCAAUCUUGCUGCUGUUGAAUCUAGUCCUGCCAUUUUGCAGUGCAUUGUAGUCCGGACUUGGCCAGUAUAUGCUCGUGAUAUCCGGUCCAUUGUACGGGAGCCGCAGGACGUUGUCAUUGUCAAAAUAGAGGAUAUGAUAACCAGAUGGAGAGACCAACUUCGUCUCUCUCGUCAGAUUCUGUGAAGGAAGCAAGGUGUCAGUGGGCGAAUCGAAGCUCUGCCAUACUACCUGAUCAGUGGAGGCCCUGAUGACAAGGUUGCUGCUGUUGAGGAGAGCUACUGUGGUGUGCUUUCCCCAGUUCGUCUUGCUCUCCCACACCGUGGAGCUGUUGACAUCGGUAAGGAGCAGGUUCCCUGCUGCGGUUAGCUGUCCAGACAACAGUCCUGUCGGUGGCGUGGGUGAACCAGAUGGAGAAGUAGUAGGCGUUGGUGCCUUCUCCAGAUGAGUAGAAGCCGCAGGAGAAGGUAGUGUCAGGAGAGACGAGGAAGAUCUCACCGUGGUCUACUCGCAGGGAUGUGCCUGUGCCCCUAGCCAGCCAUGGGGAUGCACUGGAGCGCAACGGAAUUGAGAGGAAUGAAAGAAAGAUUGGGUGGAGGAACCAGUGGUUAUUGGCUGCCAUCUUUAUCUUGUUGGAGUGAGGACGGGAAGAAAUAGAUCCAGCUCUCCUGUGCAGCCCGUGUGGGGCUCCUUCAAUCAUUCCUGCCUCUUUUGCCAGUGCUAUGUGUCGAGCUACCUACCCCACCCCUUGGUUACGACUGGAAGGACGGCAGCAAAAGGAAAGGAAUUUUCCUUCCGCCUAAUCUUUGAUGUGGCUUUCCUCUGUGUCCACAGAGGUCUCAGGCGUGCUGUUCUUCGAUAAGAGAUGAUGGCUCUAGGGUGUGUCAAUAUCUUGAUGCACCAUGGGGGUGCUUUUUCAAAACAAGAUGAACUAACUUACGAUGGAGGUGAUAUCACUCUUUUUCAAAAAAUUGACAAGGACGAAUUAUCAUACUAUCAUUUAGUACAGCUGGCCAAAACUGUAGGCUUCAAGGAUGGCGACAAUCUCUACUAUGCCAUUCCUGGUCGUAGUCUUGAUGAAGGUGGUAUAGACCAUCUGAAAGAUGACACUUCUAUUUCUGAAAUGAUGAAGUAUGCAAAUGGGGCCAAGUUUUUAGAGGUUUACAUUCAGCGUAACGAACAUGAUGUUAGCGGCUAUCCAACUGUUGGUGAUGCCGCCCAACAAGACAACACUGAUGAGACAAACAAGGGAAGCAAACCUAUAAGGCUAAGGAAGAAGAGAGAGGAGAGGCCCUGGACUGCAGAAGAGGAAAAGGUACUUACUGAUGUACUGUAUGAAAUGAAUGACUCUGGAUGGAAGGUGGACACAGGCCAUAAGUCUGGAUACCUUUCCUUCAUUGAAAAGGAGCUUGCUAAGAGACUACCAAAUGCUCAUAUUAAAGCUGACCCUCAUAUUCAAUCUAAAGUGAAGACACUGAAGAAGCUACUGUCUUAUAUCUUGGAUAUUCAGCAGUCUGGUAGUGGCUUUGGCUGGGAUGAUGAGAGAAAAAUGGUUGUUGGAGACAAAGACCAAUUCAUGGGCUGGGCAAAGAGUCGGCCUGGAGCAGCAGCUUUGUAUGGGAAGCCCUUUGUGAAUUUUGAUAAGUUAUUUGAGAUUUAUGCUAGUGACUUGGCAAAAGGAGCGAAGGCUAAAGGACCUGGAGAUCAAUUUGACUUGCAUGAAGAGCUAUCCUCUGCAGAUGUGACUGAACAAACCCAACAGAUCGACAGUGCAGUUGACUCCCAUUCACAACCACCAUGCCAUGGUAGCUACUCAUCAAGUGGAGUUAAAUCUUUAGCUGGUCGUAAGAGGGUGAUUUUGGACGAUAAUGUCCUUGCCUCGGAGUUUUCAAAUAUUUCAAAAGCACUGAACACUCUUGUGGAAGCUGAAACAGCAAACGCAGCUGCUAUGAAUGCAAUGCAGUCUGCAUUUACCCUGGAAUUUGAGGCUCAGAAGCGGACUGAUGAAAGGAGGGAGCAAUUGUUCAGUGUGCUUAAGAAAUUAUCUGGCUUUAGCCGUGAUCAAAUCGUGAAGGCUGUUCUAGUGAUUGGUCAAAAUGAGAAACGGAUUAAUCUGUUGUUUACCACGCCUGAUGAGUUGAAAUCUGAGUUUGUUCAUCAAGUGCUCAAAAGGCCUAAGAAAAUAUAGAAUUCUGGUGCUCCUUUUUUCUGUAGUAUAAGUAUUGCCAUAAUGCCCAGGUGCUAGGUACUCGUCAACCAUGGUUGACCGAAACAGUGAAGUUCAUUUUGCAUUGGGUCAGUUGUUUAUUUUGUAGCCAUGUGCUGUCAGAAACAAACUUGAGUUCCUAUCACUUGGAGCCAUGGUGAAAUUUGUGUUGUGCACUGAAUCAUGUACAAACUAUGAAUAUGUACAAUGUGCAUUCUGUAUGCAUAUGCAUAAAGUGAUUGCUAAUCUGAA